rnacentral:rRNA from 1 species
CACGUAGGGUGCGAGCGUUGUCCGGAAUUAUUGGGCGUAAAGAGCUCGUAGGCGGUGUGUCGCGUCGGCCGUGAAAUCUCCGGGCUCAACUCGGAGGGGUCGGGCGAGACUGCGAGGCUCGAGGUGGGCAGAGGGCAGUGGAAUUCCGGGUGUAGUGGUGGAAUGCGUAGAGAUCCGGAGGAACACCAGUGGCGAAGGCGGCUGCCUGGGCCUGGCCUGACGCUGAGGCGCGAAAGCGUGGGGAGCGAUCCGG